CCUACGGGGGGCAGCAGUGGGGAAUAUUGGACAAUGGGGGGAACCCUGAUCCAGCCAUGCCGCGUGUGUGAAGAAGGCCCUCGGGUUGUAAAGCACUUUCAGUGAGGAAGAACGCCUGGUGGUUAAUACCCAUCAGGAAAGACAUCACUCACAGAAGAAGCACCGGCUAACUCCGUGCCAGCAGCCGCGGUAAUACGGAGGGUGCGAGCGUUAAUCGGAAUUACUGGGCGUAAAGCGCGCGUAGGUGGCUUGAUAAGCCGGUUGUGAAAGCCCCGGGUUCAACCUGGGAACGGCAUCCGGAACUGUCAAGCUAGAGUGCAGGAGAGGAAGGUAGAAUUCCCGGUGUAGCGGUGAAAUGCGUAGAGAUCGGGAGGAAUACCAGUGGCGAAGGCGGCCUUCUGGACUGACACUGACACUGAGGUGCGAAAGCGUGGGUAGCAAACAGGAUUAGAUACCCUUGUAGUC
rnacentral:rRNA from 1 species